rnacentral:piRNA from 1 species
UGGUAAAUCAUAUUCAAAAAA